GGAUCCCAACACCACAUUAUGAAGCAAUCAGCAUGAUUCCUCCAACUCGACAUGGAAACAGCCGGAGGAGCAGAGAGGGAUGACCCGGAAGCCUCAGGCCCAACACACCUUUAAUCCUUCAAGCGGCUCAUGCUCACGUCUUGAUGAAACAAUGCUGCAUUAUUCGGACUCGGGGAGUUAUGUAAUAGAGUAGGAAAACACUUGAUUUUGUUGUGCCAUCGCGCACGUGUGCGGCGCUCAACACUGUUUAAGGUGCCCUCUUAUAUUCUUCCGGGUUAUGCUUGAUCUUCUGCUUUCCUUAUGUUUAAA